AGCACUACAAUACAAGAACUCAAUUAUAAGCCACUGCACAUGGAACUGACUCAACAUUCUUGUUUGAAUAUAUGUUCAUUCCAUGCAGCAUGUUUUUGAGGAUGGUUGAUCUUUGUUUAGCCAUUCUCAAGACGUAUCAUUGUUAAUAUCAUGAAACCAAUCAUCCAAUAUCUUAAAAGCGCUAGAUCUCCCAUAAUGGACCCACGUUACUCCCUUACUCUGAUUGUGUACAAAAUUUUAGCACAAAUAUUUCAGGCGAGUCAACUUCUUUCUUAAACGUAUUAAGAAGAAUUAAUAUUCAUGGAUCAUCCAACAGCACAUAAAGAGGUUCCCUACUCAGUUUAACUAAAACAAGCAAUCCCAAUAAAGGAAGUUAGCAACUUGAAUUGUUUUUGAGACAACCACAAAUAGGUUUCUGAAAUUUAAUUCUGAGUUCCUUAAGAUAGAUUCCAAAUAAUGAUAGUUUCAGAUGUCCACAAUUGGGCAGAUAUAAGUUACAAUAACUCCUCCAGGGAUACUUCACUCAAUAGUUCAACUGUUACUAGUCACCAACUCACUAGAAGUACAACCUCAUUCACCGCAUGAUAAUCAAUACUUGCAAAAGCCAGAUAUCUACCAGUACCCUAAAAAAUCAUAGGAUGUUGGGAAUCUCAACAUCAUUAUGAUGUUAAAUAAUGAAUCAUUAUAUGAGAAAGAGAAAAAACAAAAACGAAGGAAGAGAGAGAGAAAGAUCAUCCAAGACAAUAUAUUAUUAUGCGAGAUAUAUUAAAAAUCACAAAAAUUUGUUAUAGCAAUUUAUUUUACUGAGAAAAAAAAUGUAUUUUAUCUUGAUUAGCAAACAAGUCAGAAGUCUCACACAGCCACUUCUCUAAGAACAAUUAUGCUUACACAAUAAUCAUGAGGGAGAACUAUGGCUUCUGUAAUAAGGAUUAGUGUCUUCUGUUGCUUAUCUAAUAAAUUCAAACUUCUCUAAGAUGAUCACGCCAUGCAAGUAUCCCAGCAAGAACCGAAUGGCUUAUACACUUAAUAAUUAAUGAAAGACUCACUUGAGGAUAAUAAAAAAAAAAUUUUUUUGCAUUUUUUGACAAUGUACAAAAAGAGAACAUUUUUUGCAUGUCCAAUCCUUAAAUUUUCACAUAAGUGUGUUGUGGAUAUAUUAUUUCACCUGAUUUUACACAAUUUUCUUAAAAUGAGUGGCUGGCACCCAAAAUUCAACUAAUUAAGAUUGCACAAAUUGGAUGAGCAAACAUAAAAAGCAAAUGGUUUCUUUCAUCAUCACUUCAUUUCCAAGCUUUAACUUCACAAAUCAGAGUAACUAAAAUAUACUAAGAAAGGGAAAAUUGAGAUAUAAAUAAAAUCAAACAAUUAUAAGGAGAAUAGAAAUGCAAAUGCAAAUAUAAAGAUCAAAUCUGAAGCUACCUAGAUGGCAGAAGAGCAUUAUUAGUGAUCAACUGGACUUGGCAGCCAUCUCCUUCCUAGCUCUUCUUGCAUUCUCAUACUCAAAUUCCAACACAUUUUGUAUAUGCGAAGUAUCUUUCACAUAAAGCAUCUUCCCCAACCUACUCUCCUCAAUCACCGGAAAAAAAUAAAAGAGCUUAUAAUUCACUAUCCAAAACCACACAGCUCCAAGCAAAAUCCCCAAAAUAGCACCAGAAAACACCUGCUGAACUGUAUGGUACCCCAAGUAUACCCUCGAGUGCAUUGUCAAAACCGCCAAUAACCACGGCAGGAAACACCUCGCCCACUUGUUCUUAACCUCCGUUAACCCAAUUCCUUUAAAGGUCAAGAGUGUGAAGUAGACAGCGAAGAAGAACAUGUACUGGGAGUGGCUGGAUGGCCAACCGUGCGAAUCGCAGGUCUCUAGGAAGAUGCAGGUCUCGGGUCGGGCUUGCUGGACCGAUUUCUUGAUGAGCUCGCUGAUGAAUUGAGAAAUGAGGAGGCCGAUGGCGAAGAACAUGCCCUGGAGUUCGCGACGGAAGAUGAAAUGGCAAACAAAUCCGCCAAGACUUAUGAAGACCGGGACUAGCGAGACCCAAGCUAAGAAAUGGCCUAAUCGGUCGCCCUUUUGGUACCGGACAUGGGUGAGAGUGAUGGCCUUGAGUGGAGGAUGGGUCAUGGUGGUGGUGAUAAUUGUGAAAGUGCAGAGUGGUGACUGAUCUGUGAGGAUAUUGUCUUCAGUGAUCGAUUAUCCAGAAACCGUUGAAGUAGAAAGUUGGAAAGGGGAGAGAAAAGCGAUGCCAAUUG
rnacentral:misc_RNA from 1 species